rnacentral:rRNA from 1 species
AUUGAACGCUGGCGGCAUGCCUUACACAUGCAAGUCGAACGGCAGCGGGGGAGAAGCUUGCUUUUCCUGCCGGCGAGUGGCGAACGGGUGAGUAAUACAUCGGAACGUGCCCUGUAGUGGGGGAUAACUAGUCGAAAGAUUAGCUAAUACCGCAUACGACCUGAGGGUGAAAGGGGGGGACCGUAAGGCCUCACGCAGCAGGAGCGGCCGAUGUCUGAUUAGCUAGUUGGUGGGGUAAAGGCCCACCAAGGCGACGAUCAGUAGCUGGUCUGAGAGGACGAUCAGCCACACUGGGACUGAGACACGGCCCAGACUCCUACGGGAGGCAGCAGUGGGGAAUUUUGGACAAUGGGGGCAACCCUGAUCCAGCAAUGCCGCGUGUGUGAAGAAGGCCUUCGGGUUGUAAAGCACUUUUGUCCGGAAAGAAAUCGCGCUGGUUAAUACCUGGCGUGGAUGACGGUACCGGAAGAAUAAGCACCGGCUAACUACGUGCCAGCCGCCGCGGUAA